AGGAUUAGAAAUCUUCAUACAUAAAUCAGCUGAGUGAGUCCUUGCCUGAGCAGAAGCAAGGGUUUCUCGAGAAACCCAUGAGAUGGCUGAGG
rnacentral:miRNA from 1 species